rnacentral:lncRNA from 1 species
UCCAUAUUCCUGGCAUGACUGUAUCUCCUCCCUCCGGAACCUUUUGUGGUUUAUCCUACCAAGUGGAUUGCUUGUUGAGAGUCACCUCUCUUCCCUUCAGCAGAGUAGCAAUCUUUCUUCCUCAGCAGCUUGGAUCUCUUUGGGCAAGAGCGGUAUUUGGUGGUUGAUCCCGAUAAAUCCUUUAUCUCCUCGGAUAGAUUCCCGAGUAGAAUUGUUGGUAUGGUGGAC